UUCCUCAUUGACUGGAAGGGAUUCCUUCCAGUCAAUGAGGUAUAGCUUCCUCAUUGACUGGAAGGGAUUCCUUCCAGUCAAUGAGGUA
rnacentral:miRNA from 1 species